rnacentral:rRNA from 1 species
GACGAACGCUGGCGGCGUGCUUAACACAUGCAAGUCGAACGAUGAAGCUAGAGCUUGCUCUGGUGGAUUAGUGGCGAACGGGUGAGUAACACGUGAGUAACCUGCCCCGAACUCUGGGAUAACUGCUGGAAACGGUAGCUAAUACCGGAUAUGACCAAUGAAGGCAUCUUCUGUUGGUGGAAAGAAUUUCGGUUCGGGAUGGACUCGCGGCCUAUCAGCUUGUUGUGGAGGUAACGGCUCACCAAGGCGACGACGGGUAGCCGGCCUGAGAGGGUGAUCGGCCACACUGGGACUGAGACACGGCCCAGACUCCUACGGGAGGCAGCAGUGGGGAAUAUUGCACAAUGGGCGCAAGCCUGAUGCAGCAACGCCGCGUGAGGGACGACGGCCUUCGGGUUGUAAACCUCUUUUAGUAGGGAAGAAGCGAAAGUGACGGUACCUGCAGAAAAAGCACCGGCUAACUACGUGCCAGCCGCCGCAGUAA